GAUGAACGCUGGCGGCGUGCCUAAUACAUGCAAGUCGAGCGAACGGACGAGAAGCUUGCUUCUCUGAUGUUAGCGGCGGACGUGUGAGUAACACGUGGAUAACCUACCUAUAAGACUGGGAUAACUUCGGGAAACCGUAGCUAAUACCGGAUAAUCUUUUGCACCGCAUGGUUCAAAAGUGAAAGACGGUCUUGCUGUCACUUAUAGAUGGAUCCGCGCUGCAUUAGAUAGUUGGUAAGGUAACGGCUUACCAAGGCAACGAUGCAUAGCCGACCUGUUAGAGUGAUCGGCGACACGGGAGCUGAGACGCGGACCAGACUCCUACGGGAGGCAGCAGUAGGGAAUCUGACGCAAUGGGCGAAAGCAUGACGGAGCAACGCCGAGUGAGUGAUGAAGGUGUUCGGAUCGUAAAACUCUGUUAUUAGGGAAGAACAGAUGUGUAAGUAGCUGUGCACAUCUUGACGGUACCUAAUCAGAAAGCCCCGGCUAACUACGUG
rnacentral:rRNA from 1 species